rnacentral:rRNA from 1 species
AAAUUGAAGAGUUUGAUCAUGGCUCAGAUUGAACGCUGGCGGCAGGCCUAACACAUGCAAGUCGAACGGUAACAGGAAACAGCUUGCUGUUUCGCUGACGAGUGGCGGACGGGUGAGUAAUGUCUGGGAAACUGCCUGAUGGAGGGGGAUAACUACUGGAAACGGUAGCUAAUACCGCAUAACGUCGCAAGACCAAAGAGGGGGACCCUCGGGCCUCUUGCCAUCGGAUGUGCCCAGAUGGGAUUAGCUUGUUGGUGAGGUAACGGCUCACCAAGGCGACGAUC